rnacentral:tRNA from 1 species
AGUAGGAUGGCUGAGUGGCUUAAAGCAGCAUCUUGGAAAGGUGUCGGAUCAGGUAACCCCUGGUCCCGGGAGUUCAAAUCUCCCUCCUACUGCCA